rnacentral:rRNA from 1 species
GACGUAGGGCGCGAGCGUUGUCCGGAUUUAUUGGGCGUAAAGAGCUCGUAGGCGGCUCAUCGCGUCUGCCGUGAAAGCCUGUGGCUCAACUACAGGCUUGCGGUUGAUACGGGUGGGCUGGAGUUCGGUAGGGGAGACUGGAAUUCCUGGUGUAGCGGUGAAAUGCGCAGAUAUCAGGAGGAACACCGGUGGCGAAGGCGGGUCUCUGGGCCGAUACUGACGCUGAGGAGCGAAAGCGUGGGGAGCGAACAGG